AUGAAGGCAACAUUAAAAACUAUCCUCCCACAUACUCUGCAUAAGUUGUGUCGGUGGCAUAUCAUGAAGAAGUACAAAGACCACCUCGCCUUGCUGUAUAAGGCACACGAGAAACUCAAGGAUGACCUCAAUGCGGUGCUGAACCACCCACUAAUGCCGUCAGAAUUUGAACGAGCAUGGAAUGACCUCAUUCAGAGAUACAACUUGCAAGACGACGAAGUGAUGAAUUCGCUGUGGGAUGACAGGCACGAGUGGAUCUCGGCUUACUACAAGGAAUUUUUCUGUGCUCGGAUGACUUCCACACAGAGAAGAGAGAGCAUGAACCGCAUACUGAAGAAAAACUUUGUCAAAGAGAAGAAUGAUCUCCAUCUGUUUGCUCAGCAGGUGGACAAGUGCAUUCAGACCAAGAAGGCCGUAGAGCACGCAGAGACAGUAGCAAAUGAGUCAGAGGUAAAGACAACAACCCAGUUUGGGUGCGAAGUUCAGCUAUCAAAAGUGUAUAUAAGGGCAGUGUUUCCAGAUUUCAAAGAAACACUCUACCGUAGCACUGCAUUCAGAGCAGAACGGUGCCCUGAGAACCCGACAAAGUAUCUCGUACACCACUACAACAGAUCGGAUGCAUUUGACUGGGCAAGGCAUAAUUUCCAAGUGGUCGCCGAUGAAACGAAAGGUGUCUACGAAUGUGAGUGCAAACUCUGGACACACACAGGGCUCUUUUGCGUCCAUGUGUUAUGCAUGCUUUCUCAUUUGAGAGUACUCAAGAUUCCUGAGGUGUACAUCAUGAAAAGAUACACCCGUAACGCAAGAUCAAAUGCGACGUUUGACAAAAGAGACUAUGAACAAACAGCACCAUAUGGAACCUCGCUUUUUUGCCGUAGAAAAUUGCUGACAGAAACAGCAAUGGACCUUGCAAACAGAGCGACAAGGUCCGAC
rnacentral:rRNA from 1 species